ACAAGCUGCCUAUCCAAGUGGCUGAAGGGAAGAAAAGACCUGAUGUCCCACUUCAAGCAGCGAAGCUGGCAUCAGAAACUGGUGUAGCUCUUAGAGACAAGCUGCCUAUCUACACAUCUUGGAAGCUUUAUGAAAAAGAUGGGGGGCCAGUAGAAGUACAAAAAGUGCUUGAUAAAGUGGCGAAUAGGUUGGAUGUGGAUGUUAAGAAUGAUGGACCCAGCAAAUCUGCAUGCACUGAUAUCAUUAAGAAGGGAGUAAAGCAGUAGAGGUAUCACCUAAAAAGGAAGUACUUCGACGAGUCCCUCACAAUGGAACAGCUGUUGGCCAAAGAACCUCCACCUAAAAUGAAGACAGAGGAGUGGAUCGAGCUCGUAAAGUACUGGUGUGACCCAAAGAAUCAGGAGAAAUCUGCGAAGAAUAAAGUAAACCGAUCCAAGGUGCAGCUUCACCAAAAAACUGGUUCUAGGUCCUACAUAGCCUAUCGAUACAGCCUGGUAAUACUAUUGCUUUCACUUUGGGGCACUUUUGGGGUGCUUUUCGGUUGUAUGUUCAACAUCUUUAAGCUCCUGUUAUGUUGCAAAGGAAAAUGUAGUUCAUGGCUAUUUGUAGUGUUUUUCCUCUACUGAAUAGCUAUUUGUAGUGUUUUUCCUUUUGGAAUUUAUUUGCACAGGGAAACUGAGAAAGAUGGAUGAAAAGGGCAAGGCUCUUUCUGAUACUAAA